rnacentral:tRNA from 1 species
GAGGAUAUAGCUCAGUGGCACAGCACCUGCCUUGCAAGCAUGAGGUCCUGAGUUCAGUUUCCGGUUUUAUUU